CUAAGUCCGUUCGGCGGA
rnacentral:snRNA from 1 species